UUGUAUGGUUAAGUGACUAAGCGUACACGGUGGAUGCCUUGGCAGUCAGAGGCGAUGAAAGACGUAGUAACUUGCGAUAAGCCCAGAUUAGGUAGUAACAACCAUUUUAGUCUGGGAUUUCUGAAUGGGGAAACCCACGUGCAUAAGCACGUAUCCUUACCUGAAUACAUAGGGUAAGGAGGCGAACCGGGGGAACUGAAACAUCUAAGUACCCCGAGGAAAAGAACUCAACCGAGAUUCCGAAAGUAGCGGCGAGCGAAAUUGGACUAGCCCUUAAGCUUUACACGCGUUAGACGAACGGUCUGGAAAGUCCGGCGAUACAGGGUGAUAGUCCCGUAGUUGACGACGUGUGUUCAGUGAAAUCGAGUAGGGCGGGACACGUGAUAUCCUGUCUGAAUAUGGGGGGACCAUCCUCCAAGGCUAAAUACUACUGACUGACCGAUAGUGAACCAGUACCGUGAGGGAAAGGCGAAAAGCACCCCUGUGCGGGGAGUGAAAUAGAACCUGAAACCGUGUACGUACAAGCAGUAGGAGCAGGCUUUGUCCUGUGACUGCGUACCUUUUGUAUAAUGGGUCAGCGACUUAUAUUCAGUGGCAAGGUUAACCAUCUAGGGGAGCCGUAGGGAAACCGAGUCUUAACUGGGCGUUCAGUCUCUGGAUAUAGACCCGAAACCAGGUGAUCUAGCCAUGGGCAGGUUGACGGUUGAGUAACAUCAACUGGAGGACCGAACCGACUAAUGUUGAAAAAUUAGCGGAUGACUUGUGGCUAGGGGUGAAAGGCCAAUCAAACCUGGAGAUAGCUGGUUCUCCCCGAAAGCUAUUUAGGUAGCGCCUCGGACGAAUACUACUGGGGGUAGAGCACUGUUAAGGCUAGGGGGUCAUCCCGACUUACCAACCCUUUGCAAACUCCGAAUACCAGUAAGUACUAUCCGGGAGACACACGUCGGGUGCUAACGUCCGUCGUGGAUAGGGAAACAACCCAGACCGCCAGCUAAGGUCCCAAAUUACUACUAAGUGGGAAACGAUGUGGGAAGGCUCAGACAGCCAGGAUGUUGGCUUAGAAGCAGCCAUCAUUUAAAGAAAGCGUAAUAGCUCACUGGUCGAGUCGGCCUGCGCGGAAGAUGUAACGGGGCUAAGUAGUAAACCGAAGCUGCGGCAAUGUGCUUUUGCACAUUGGGUAGGGGAGCGUUCUGUAAGCGGUUGAAGGUGUGUGGUAACGCAUGCUGGACGUAUCAGAAGUGCGAAUGCUGACAUUAGUAACGAUAAAGGGGGUGAAAGACCUCCUCGCCUGAAGACCAAGGGUUCCUGUCCAACGUUAAUCGGGGCAGGGUAAGUCGACCCCUAAGGCGAGGCCGAAAGGCGUAGUCGAUGGGAAACGGGUUAAUAUUCCCGUACUUCUUACAAUUGCGAUGGGGGGACGGAGAAGGCUAGGUGGGCCUGGCGACGGUUGUCCAGGUUCAAGUGCGUAGGCUUAAGAGUUAGGUAAAUCCGGCUCUUUUUAAGGCUGAGACACGACGUCGAGCAUCUACGGUUGUGAAGUCAUUGAUGCCAUGCUUCCAGGAAAAGCCUCUAAGCUUCAGAUUGUAAGGAAUCGUACCCCAAACCGACACAGGUGGUCGGGUAGAGAAUACCAAGGCGCUUGAGAGAACUCGGGUGAAGGAACUAGGCAAAAUGGUACCGUAACUUCGGGAGAAGGUACGCUCUCGACGGUGAAGUCCCUCGCGGAUGGAGCUAUUGAGAGUCGCAGAUACCAGGUGGCUGCAACUGUUUAUUAAAAACACAGCACUGUGCAAAAUCGUAAGAUGACGUAUACGGUGUGACGCCUGCCCGGUGCCGGAAGGUUAAUUGAUGGGGUUAGACUUCGGUCGAAGCUCUUGAUCGAAGCCCCGGUAAACGGCGGCCGUAACUAUAACGGUCCUAAGGUAGCGAAAUUCCUUGUCGGGUAAGUUCCUACCUGCACGAAUGGCGUAAUGAUGGCCACGCUGUCUCCACCCGAGACUCAGUGAAAUUGAAAUCGCUGUGCAGAUGCAGUGUACCCGCGGCUAGACGGAAAGACCCCGUGAACCUUUACUACAGCUUGGCACUGAACAUUGACCCUACAUGUGUAGGAUAGGUGGGAGGCUUUGAAGCACGUACGCCAGUAUGUGUGGAGCCGUCCUUGAAAUACCUCCCUUGUAGUGUUGAUGUUCUAACGUCGACCCCUUAUCGGGGUUGCGGACAGUGCCUGGUGGGUAGUUUGACUGGGGCGGUCUCCUCCCAAAGAGUAACGGAGGAGCACGAAGGUGGGCUAAUCACGGUUGGACAUCGUGAGGUUAGUGCAAUGGCAUAAGCCCGCUUGACUGCGAGAAUGACAAUUCGAGCAGGUGCGAAAGCAGGUCAUAGUGAUCCGGUGGUUCUGAAUGGAAGGGCCAUCGCUCAACGGAUAAAAGGUACUCCGGGGAUAACAGGCUGAUACCGCCCAAGAGUUCAUAUCGACGGCGGUGUUUGGCACCUCGAUGUCGGCUCAUCACAUCCUGGGGCUGAAGUCGGUCCCAAGGGUAUGGCUGUUCGCCAUUUAAAGUGGUACGCGAGCUGGGUUUAGAACGUCGUGAGACAGUUCGGUCCCUAUCUGCCGUGGGCGUUGGAAGAUUGAAGGGGGCUGCUCCUAGUACGAGAGGACCGGAGUGGACGAACCUCUGGUGUUCGGGUUGUGUCGCCAGACGCAUUGCCCGGUAGCUAAGUUCGGAAUCGAUAACCGCUGAAAGCAUCUAAGCGGGAAGCGAGCCCUGAGAUGAGUCUUCCCUGAUACUUUAAGUAUCCUAAAGGGUUGUCGGAGACUACGACGUUGGUAGGUCAGGUGUGUAAGUGCUGUGAGGCAUUGAGCUAACUGAUACUAAUUGCCCGUGAGGCUUCACCAUACAACACCCAAGGGGUUU
rnacentral:rRNA from 1 species